rnacentral:rRNA from 1 species
CCUACGGGUGGCAGCAGUGAGGAAUAUUGGUCAAUGGGCGGAAGCCUGAACCAGCCAAGUAGCGUGCAGGAUGACGGCCCUACGGGUUGUAAACUGCUUUUAUACGGGAAUAACGCGCCUUACGUGUAGGGCUUUGCAUGUACCGUAUGAAAAAGCAUCGGCUAACUCCGUGCCAGCAGCCGCGGUAAUCAGGAGGAUGUGAGCGUUAUCCGGAUUUAUUGGGUUUAAAGGGUGCGUAGGCGGGCUGUUAAGUCAGCGGUCAAAUGUCGGGGCUCAACCCCGGCCUGCCGUUGAAACUGGCGGCCUCGAGUGGGCGAGAAGUAUGCGGAAUGCGUGGUGUAGCGGUGAAAUGCAUAGAUAUCACGCAGAACUCCGAUUGCGAAGGCAGCAUACCGGCGCCCGACUGACGCUGAGGCACGAAAGCGUGGGUAUCGAACAGGAUUAGAUACCCUUGUAGUC